rnacentral:ncRNA from 1 species
AUGUUGUUGCGAUAGUAAUCCUGCUCAGUACGAGAGGAACCGCAGGUUCAGACAUUUGGUUCAUGUGCUUGGCCGAUCGGCCAAUGGUGCGAAGCUACCAUCUGAGGGAUUAUGACUGAACGCCUCUAAGUCAGAAUCCCACCUAGACAAUGCAACGAUAAAUUUGCUCCCCGAUGUCGGGAGGCACUAUUAUGUAAUAAAUAUUUUAUUACAGCUAAUGCCCCAUUAUAUGGUCUUGCUACUUAAUCGAAUGGUUAAGUGGUUGCCAAAACCGGAUUACUCUGGUACAAUGUCGGGGCGCAAAAUCACUUGCAGACGACUUGAUUACUGGUCAAGGUGUUGUAAGCAGUAGAGCAGCCUCCAUACUGCGAUCUGUUGAGACUUAUCCUUUGAUUGGACGAUUU